rnacentral:rRNA from 1 species
UACGUAGGGGCAAGCGUUGUCCGGAUUUAUUGGGCGUAAAGAGCGUGUAGGCGGCCAGGUAGGUCCGUUGUGAAAACUCGAGGCUCAACCUCGAGACGCCGAUGGAAACCAUCUGGCUAGAGUCCGGAAGAGGAGAGUGGAAUUCCCGGUGUAGCGGUGAAAUGCGCAGAUAUCGGGAAGAACACCCGUGGCUAAGGCGGCUCUCUAGUACGGUACUGACGCUGAGACGCGAAAGCGUGGGGAGCA